rnacentral:tRNA from 1 species
GCACUAGUAACUCAGCGCAGAGUGUCGGUCUUGUAAACCGAAAGCCGGGGGUUAAAAUCCCCCCUACUGCU